rnacentral:sRNA from 1 species
UUAGUGAAUAUAGGACGUCCAACUUAACUUGGAGUCCGAACUCUCACUUUCUAACCCUGUGCACUUGUUUGGGAUAGUAACUCUCGCAAGAGAGCGAACUCCUAUUCACUUAUAAACACAAAGUCUAUGAAUGUAUUAAAUUUUAUAACAAAAUAAAACUUUCAACAACGGAUCUCUUGGCUCUCGCAUCGAUGAAGAACGCAGCGAAAUGCGAUAAGUAAUGUGAAUUGCAGAAUUCAGUGAAUCAUCGAAUCUUUGAACGCACCUUGCGCUCCAUGGUAUUCCGUGGAGCAUGCCUGUUUGAGUGUCAUGAAUACUUCAACCCUCCUCUUUCUUAAUGAUUGAAGAGGUGUUUGGUUUCUGAGCGCUGCUGGCCUUUACGGUCUAGCUCGUUCGUAAUGCAUUAGCAUCCGCAAUCGAACUUCGGAUUGACUUGGCGUAAUAGACUAUUCGCUGAGGAAUUCUAGUCUUCGGACUAGAGCCGGGUUGGGUUAAAGGAAGCUUCUAAUCAGAAUGUCUACAUUUUAAGAUUAGAUCUCAAAUCAGGUAGGACUACCCGCUGAACUUAAGCAUAUCAU